rnacentral:lncRNA from 1 species
CCAAAAAUAGGUAGAUCGGACAUAUUUUGACUUUAUUUAAUGACUUCCUUAGUUUGGGAUUAAUUGUAAUUGGCAUGUUCCUAUGAGACUGAAAAUGUUGUUUUUUUGUAAGAUAAAAAAUAAUUUUACCUGGCGUACCCGUGUGUAAAGUGUAUUUCGGCAUUUCUCUCCGAAAAAUGACUUGGUGAUUGGAAUAAAACGUCUUAUUUGUAAACUUUUU